UUGAUCCUGGCUCAGAAUCAACGCUGGCGGCGUGCCUAACACAUGCAAGUCGAACGCGAAAGUUCCGCAAGGAAUUAGUAGAGUGGCAAACGGGUGAGUUACACGUGGGUGACCUGCCUUCGAGUGGGGGAUAACGUCCCGAAAGGGACUCUAAUACCGCAUAACAUCCUGCCUUUUAAGAGGUGGAGAUCAAAGCUGGUGAUCGCAAGACCUGGCGCUGGAAGAGGGGCCCGCGUCCGAUUAGCUAGUUGGUGGGGUAACGGCUCACCAAGGCGACGAUCGGUAGCCGGCCUAAGAGGUCGGACGGCCACACUGGGACUGAGACACGGCCCAGACUCCUACGGGAGGCUGCAGUGGGGAAUUGUUCGCAAUGGGCGCAAGCUUGACGACGCAACGCCGUGUGGAGGAUGAAGACCUUCGGGUCGUAAACUCCUUUCGAUCGAGACGAAUGGCUUCCGGGUUAAUAGCCCGGAGGAAUGACGGUACCGAGAGAAGAAGCUCCGGCUAACUCCGUGCCAGCAGCCGCGGUAAUAAGGU
rnacentral:rRNA from 1 species